rnacentral:rRNA from 1 species
CGGAGGGCGUAGCGUUGUUCGGAAUUACUGGGCGUAAAGCGCACGUAGGCGGCUUUGUAAGUUAGAGGUGAAAGCCCGGGGCUCAACUCCGGAAUUGCCUUUAAGACUGCAUCGCUUGAACAUCGGAGAGGUAAGUGGAAUUCCGAGUGUAGAGGUGAAAUUCGUAGAUAUUCGGAAGAACACCAGUGGCGAAGGCGACUUACUGGACGAUUGUUGACGCUGAGGUGCGAAAGCGUGGGGAGCAAACAGGAUU